rnacentral:rRNA from 1 species
UGGGAAUUUUGGACAAUGGGCGAAAGCCUGAUCCAGCAAUGCCGCGUGUGUGAAGAAGGCCUUCGGGUUGUAAAGCACUUUUGUCCGGAAAGAAAUCCUUGGCUCUAAUACAGUCGGGGGAUGACGGUACCGGAAGAAUAAGCACCGGCUAACUACGUGCCAGCAGCCGCGGUAAUACGUAGGGUGCAAGCGUUAAUCGGAAUUACUGGGCGUAAAGCGUGCGCAGGCGGUUUGCUAAGACCGAUGUGAAAUCCCCGGGCCGUCACCUGGGAACUGGCAUUGGUGACUGGCAGGCUAGAGUAUGGCAGAGGGGGUGAGAAUUCCACGUGUAGCAGUGAAAAUGCGUAGAGAUGUGGAGGAAUACCGAUGGCGAAGGCAGCCCUCGGCAAGUCAACUGACGCUCAUGCACGAAAGCGUGGGGGAGCAAAACAGGAUUAGAUACCCC